rnacentral:rRNA from 1 species
CCUAACACAUGCAAGUCGAGCGGUAACAUGCUUAGUAGCAAUACUAAGUGAUGACGAGCGUCGGACGGGUGAGGAACACGUAGGAACCUGCCCAAGAGAGGGGGACAACCAAGGGAAACUUUGACUAAUACCGCAUAAUCUCUGGCGAGAAAAGUUGCCCGUGAGGGUAGCACUUUGGGAUGGUCAUGCGUCUGAUUAGUUAGUUGGUGAGGUAAUGGCUCACCAAGAGGAUGAUCGGUAACUGGUGUGAGAGGACGACCAGUCACACUGGGACUGAGACACGGUCCAGACUCCUACGGGAGGCAGCAGUGGGGAAUAUUGGACAAUGGGAGCAAACCUGAUCCAGCGAUGCCGCGUGGGUGAAGAAGGCGUUCGGGUUGUAAAGCACUUUAGGCUGGGAAGAAGUGUGUUGUGCUAAUAGCGCUGUACAUUGACGGUACCAGCAGAAUAAGCACCGGCAAACUCUGUGCCAGCAGCCGCGGUAACAC